AGCGAACGCUGGCGGCAGGCCUAACACAUGCAAGUCGAACGAAGUCUUCGGACUUAGUGGCGGACGGGUGAGUAACACGUGGGAACGUGCCUUUAGGUUCGGAAUAACUCAGGGAAACUUGUGCUAAUACCGAAUGUGCCCUUCGGGGGAAAGAUUUAUCGCCUUUAGAGCGGCCCGCGUCUGAUUAGCUAGUUGGUGAGGUAAAGGCUCACCAAGGCGACGAUCAGUAGCUGGUCUGAGAGGAUGAUCAGCCACAUUGGGACUGAGACACGGCCCAAACUCCUACGGGAGGCAGCAGGGGGGAAUCUUGCGCAAUGGGCGAAAGCCUGACGCAGGCAUGCCGCGUGAAUGAUGUAGGUCUUAGGAUUGUAAAAUUCUUUCACCGGGGACGAUAAUGACGGUACCCGGAGAAGAAGCCCCGGCUAACUUCGUGCCAGCCGCCGCAGUAA
rnacentral:rRNA from 1 species